rnacentral:rRNA from 1 species
UACGUAGGUGGCAAGCGUUGUCCGGAUUUACUGGGCGUAAAGAGCGCGCAGGCGGUCGUUCAAGUCGCGUGUGAAAGCCCCCGGCUCAACUGGGGAGGGUCACGCGAUACUGAUCGACUCGAAGGCAGGAGAGGGUAGUGGAAUUCCCGGUGUAGUGGUGAAAUGCGUAGAUAUCGGGAGGAACACCAGUGGCGAAGGCGGUUCUCUAGUACGGUACUGACGCUGAGACGCGAAAGCGUGGGGAGCGAACAGG